rfam:Trichosporon asahii var. asahii CBS 8904 unplaced genomic scaffold scaffold00105, whole genome shotgun sequence.
GGGCAUGUAGCUCAGUUGGUAGAGCGCGUCAUUAGCAGCAGCGCUGUCUCUUGAGGAACAGCGUCGAUUACUUGACGAGGUCUUUGGUUCGAUUCCUAACCUGUCCA